UUUCUAGCAAAUUCAUUUAACCAUUUAGAUAAAUGAGGCAUUAUUUUCUUCAUGCUUCCAUCCAAUCCUGGAGGUGAAUUUUUUCUGUCUGAUCAUUCUAUAAGUCACCAAUUCAAAUUUUCGCUUGGUGAUAAUGGAGUCUAAGAUGAGUGGAAGAUAAAUGUUCCAGCUUGUCGCAACAUUUAAGUGCAGUUUUAACAAGGGUGACUUAAGUUCUCUCUCAAUCAUUCAAAUCAAUUCUCCCAGAGGACAAGGUCGUCGUCUAAUUCAGCUUCUUAUUUACCCAGGAAAUGAGAGGAUGCAAGGUGUGCCUGGGAAAAGACUAAUCAUAUGAAAACACUGGCCAUGAGAAUGGAUGCCCUGGUCUCACUUGAUCAAAGAAGAGAAAGCUGUUAAUGUACUGGAGCACUCUUGCUGCGGAAAUGAGUCACACCAUAGAGCCUGGCUGCUGUGGCAUCAUACGGAAACUGUAGCAAAACUCAAGGGCCGCUCUGGAGUGAAGGAGAGCUUGGCUGAUGGCCAGGAAAAGGUGAGGAGGGUGCCAGACCCCUAAUAAAAGAGGCUUCACAGUCAAGCCUCUUGCUAUAACUGUCUCUCCCACUUUCUCUUUUUAAAACUAUUUUUCCUAUUGUAAAUAAUACCAUUAAAUGAAGACUAUUGUCUCUCCUUAUG